rnacentral:rRNA from 1 species
UGCGUAGGUGGUGAGGUAAGUCGGAUGUGAAAGCUCGGAGCUCAACUCCGAAAUGGCAUUGGAAACUACCUUGCUGGAGGGUUGGAGGGGGGACUGGAAUACUUGGUGUAGCAGUGAAAUGCGUAGAUAUCAAGUGGAACACCAGUGGCGAAGGCGAGUCCCUGGACAACACCUGACACUGAGGCACGAAAGCUAGGGAGCAAACA